rnacentral:rRNA from 1 species
CCCUAGAGAUAGGGCUUUCCCUUCGGGGACAGAGUGACAGGUGGUGCAUGGUCUGUUGUCAGCUCGUGUCGUGAGAUGUCGGGUUAAGUCCCGCAACGAGCGCAACCCUUGAUUUUAGUUGCCAGCAUUCAGUUGGGCACUCUAAGGUGACUGCCGGUGACAAACCGGAGGAAGGUGGGGAUGACGUCAAAUCAUCAUGCCCCUUAUGACCUGGGCUACACACGUGCUACAAUGGACAGAACAAAGGGCUGCAAGACCGCAAGGUUUAGCCAAUCCCAUAAAUCUGUUCUCAGUUCGGAUCGCAGUCUGCAACUCGACUGCGUGAAGCUGGAAUCGCUAGUAAUCGCGGAUCAGCAUGCCGCGGAA